GUUUUUGCAUUAGUUUGGAGAUUAUUAAAAUUGUCAAGAGUAUUAAAUACAGCUAUUCAUGAUGUGAACAUACAUUAAGAUUCGAAAUAAAUAUAAACUAUGUGAGAGUACUGUUUGACAAUAUGGAGAGGAUUCUGUAUGUGUACGUUUUAAUCAAUUCAUUGCUAGUUCUGACAGCUUUCAGUAAAUAUGUUAAUUUCAAAUUUGGAAGUGAAUAUGAAUAUAAAUUUCAUUUGGAUUCCAGUUUAAAUGAUGUUGGUCGAUUCAGUGUAAAUGCAAAGGUAAAUUCAGUUAUGUUUAAGUUAAUGUUCCCGUGUUAACAUAUCAAUUCUUCCUGGCAUUAAGUAAAUCAGAGAAUGACGUUUUUUCAAUUUGUCUAUGUUGCAUAUUUAAAUUCAGACUAACUGACUUUUAGACAGACAAGUAAAAGACGACUAAUCUAUCAAAUUUAGUUUUUUUUGCGAGCAAAAUAUGGCAUUCUGAAUUAUAUAAUUUUCUUGUUACUUUUUUUGAGGUGGGCUACAUGAUAUGAUAGUUUAUUCUCAUAAAACCAUGCAAAUACAAAGGUUACAGAGAAGUUAAAAAAAAUAAUAUACAUAAGAAUAAAAAUGCAUUAAAAAUGCAUAAAUUUAAAAAUUUCGGAUGAGAUAACAUAUUAAUGCCCGCGUCACACUGUCCCGAUUUUUAUAUACGAUGGGACACCGAAUGCGAAAUUUAAGUUCGUACGAAGUUGUCCCCAUCUCGUUAAAAUACAAAAGUGACCGAAGCAAGUACGAAUGAAUAACAAGUCUUUUACGAGAGUAAGUAAUAUACAUAGCAAAAGAUGGACAAAAGGUUAACCGAAGACGGUAUCUAAGCUUCAUAUCUCAGCCGAAGCCUACAAGAUGGAUCACGAAGGCUACACGAUGUUACGAUGAUGGCGCGAUGGCAUACGAUGUCAAAAGACUCGUGUACGCUACGAGCAUUUAAAUUAUAUGCCGAAGGCAUCACGCGUUUUUUAAAUUGUUUGAUCAUAUUGAAUAACAUUAUAUUGUACAUUAAUUUUGGUUUAUCAUAAUCAUAAGACGAAGACGUGGUAUUUCCAGUACUGACUAAUUUGGUUGAUUUAAAAAAUAGUUAGUAUCAAAUAUGCGUAUUCACCAUUUCUGCAUGUGUCAUAUACAAAUAGUGUCCAUAUUUGUCCCCAAUAUUCCUACGAGGAGGCCACGCUCGGCGUUGCCUUGUUUGAACUGUAAAUUUGCACUAGUCUGAAUAAUCACCCCUAAUUAUGCCCAUGUUUACAGAUCUAUCUUAAAGGUACGGCAAUGGGUUCGUUGAUCCCUUUUAUUCAAAAAGAGCUCUUUCCAGGAGAAUAUCAUAAUAAUAUAGACUAAAGGAAGGAUGUGGGGAAAGCAACAAAUGCGGCAAAAUAUGAAAUAGAAAACAAAAUGUUUAUGGAGUAAACAUUCGUGUGACAACAACUCAACGAUACAUUAAAAAAUCAAAUAAUGAAGAAAAGUGGUCCCUAUAUACGUGUACCUGCAGUUUGGAUACGAGGCGCGUUAUGAUUUUCAUAUGUUAUUUGAUAUGAAAAUUGACAAAAAAUAAUAUUUUAUUUGUAAAAGUAAAUCCUGACCUGUAUACUGCUCUCUUGUUCCAUUUGAAUUAAUAGAAACAACGCUGUCGCCUUUCUUGUUCUCAUAGAAUCAUAUGAUAUGAGCUCCAUGUUUUGUGAACGUCUUUCUUAACUGUCGUAUUAGACUGACCAGUGCAUAUCGCGCAUGGCACUUUAAAUGUAUUUAAGCGCGAAAAUUAACUUACAUUUAGCUGGAUUAAUUGCCGUCGUAGUUAACAUGUUAAAAAAUUUAGAACCCUUCCCGAAGUUGUCCCCGCAGGCUAGAAAAAGUGGCCGAUGGUUCUACGAUGGUUAAAGAUGGCACUACGAAUAGUCCGAUCUGGAUACGAUCAGUCCCGAUUUUGAAAAUUUCCAUAAUCGUGUUGCCAUCGGCGUAAAAAUCGGGACAGUGUGACGCGGGCAUAAAGAAUAUAUAUAAGUAUAUGUAUAAGUAUAUGUAUAUACUUAUAGUCAAAUGUAAAAGUUAAUAUUGUAUAAAAAAAUAUCAAAUUUCGUUUUCUUGCGAGCAAAAUAUGGCAUUCUGAAUUAUUAUAAUUUUCUUGUUACUUUUUUCAGGUGGGCUACACGAAUAUUGAUAAUACGGACGAAUUCCAGGAAAUUUUGCUCAGAAUAUAUACCUUCACAGUG
rnacentral:lncRNA from 1 species